GACGAACGCUGGCGGCGUGCCUAACACAUGCAAGUCGAACGGAAAUAUCAAUGAAGCUUGCGAUUUGAUAUUUUAGUGGCGGACGGGUGAGUAACGCGUGGGUAAUCCGCCCAUAAGUGGGGAACAACAGUUGGAAACGACUGCUAAUACCGCAUACGCUACCGUAAGGUAGGAAAGGUGGCCUCUGAAUAUGCCGCCGCUUAUGGAUGAGCCCGCGUCUGAUUAGCUAGUUGGUGGGGUAAAGGCCUACCAAGGCGACGAUCAGUAGCCGGCCUGAGAGGGUGAACGGCCACACUGGGACUGAGACACGGCCCAGACUCCUACGGGAGGCAGCAGUGGGGAAUAUUGCGCAAUGGGGGAAACCCUGACGUAGCGACGCCGCGUGAGCGAUGAAGGCCUUAGGGUUGUAAAGCUCUGUUUUAAGGGACGAAUGUUACGGGGAGUAAUAUGCCCUGUAAAUGACGGUACCUUAAGAGGAAGCCCCGGCUAACUACGUGCCAGCCGCCGCCGUAACAC
rnacentral:rRNA from 1 species